rnacentral:rRNA from 1 species
GAGAUCUUUAGUAACGGCGAGUGAACGGAGAAGAGCCCAGCGCUGAAUCAUUUGGUCACAAUUGAUCAAAAUGAACUGUAGCGUAUAGGUGUAAUUGUCGCAGUGUUUUGUGCACUCAAAGUCCCCUCGAGCGGGGCCACAGUCCAAAGAAGGUGCUAGACCUGUACGGGUGAUAAAACACUGGGUUGAUUGCUCCUCGGAGUCGGGUUGCCUGAGAUCGCAGCUCAAAGUGGGUGGUAAACCUCAUCUAAGGCUAAAUAUGGCCACGAGACCGAUAGCAAACAAGUACCGUGAGGGAAAGUUGAAAAGAACUCUGAGAAGAGAGUUAAAGGAGGACGUGAAACCGCUGGGAUGGAAACGAAUAGAGUUGACGAAAUCAACCGUCAUUCAACCGAUCAACUUAGCGGUCUCCUAUUAUUGCACUGCGUUUUGUGCGUUUCGUGCAAUCAUCUCAACAAUGGUUGUUGGGGCGUGCGAAUUUUUGCGGGCAAUAAUAGGCAGGUGCUGUUGAGUGCUUGUGCAUUUUGUGAUCGGUGCAUUUGACGGUGGUACGCGCUGAGAGCCGCGUUUUUGUGCGACAAAAUUUUUGCUGGUAGUGGACUGUGUAAAUUUUUGCACAGAAACCUACCCGAUUUUUGAAGCGUAUCAUUAAUGCGGUUGCGAUUGCAUUUACACUUCCGCCAUUUGCUUUUUUUUUAUUGCAUAUUUUGCAUGAAAGAAAAGUUUGGUGCGUUUUUAUAUCCAUUCAAUUGAUGCACGCGCAUUGCGAUCGCUUGCGUAUCGUAUGCGCGCGUAAUUAUUGCGUUUGUGUGUCUCAAUUGUGGUUAUAAUAAACGCGUUGAAGUUGCAUCUCGGUGUGAGCGUCGAUCACCUAUUCGACCCGUCUUGAAACACGGACCAAGGAGUCUAGCAUAUGCGCAAGUUAUUGGGUGGUAAACCUAUAGAAAACGCAAUGAAAGUGAACAAAUCAUUCUCUUUGCCAAAAGGGAAUGAUUUUUUUUGCCUUCUUUUUUUUUCAAUAUGUGAACCAUGUGGUCUCUCUGUUUGUGUACAGCGGUGGAAUUGUUCAUUUGUUUAUAUUUCCUUUUAUUGGGGAAUUAAAUAAAUGAGCAGCCCUGCGCGAGCAUGGUGCAACAUAACCCCGUCUAAAUUGCUUGACAAUUGGGCGGAGGUAGAGCGUAUAUGCUGGGACCCGAAAGAUGGUGAACUAUGCCUGAGCAGGAUGAAGCCAGAGGAAACUCUGGUGGAGGUCCGAAGCGAUUCUGACGUGCAAAUCGAUCGUCUGACUUUGGUAUAGGGGCGAAAGACUAAUCGAACUAUCUAGUAGCUGGUUCCCUCUGAAGUUUCCCCCAGGAUAGCUGGAGCACAUGCAAGAGCAGUUAUAUUCGGUAAAGCGAAUGAUUAGACGAAUUGGGGACGAAACGUCCUCAACCUAUUCUCAAACUUUCAAUGGGUAUGAAGUUUCGCUUGCUUAAAUUUCAAAAAAUGCAAAAAAGAAGAAUUGCAUGAAGCGUGAACAUUGAAUGCGUGUUCCAAGUGGGCCAUUUUUGGUAAGCAGAACUGGCGCUGUGGGAUGAACCAAACGUUGAGAUAAAGUGCCAAACUUUCCGCUCAUGAGAUCCCAUGAAAGGCGUUGGUUGAUAUAGACAGCAGGACGGUGGCCAUGGAAGUCGGAAGCCGCUAAGGAGUGUGUAACAACUCACCUGCCGAAUCAACUAGCCCUGAAAAUGGAUGGCGCUUGAGCGGAAGACUUAUACUCGACCGUUGCACGGCUUGUGUACAAAAGAAAAUGCACGCGGCAGCAGCAGCGAUAGCAAAUGUUACCUGGCUGCAACGAGUAAGAGGGUCGCAGUGAUUAGCGUUGAAGACUUUGGGCGUAGGCCCAGUCGGAGCUUUCACUGGUGCAGAUCUUGGUGGUAGUAGCAAAUAUUCAAGUGAGAUCCUUGAAGACUGAAGUGGAGAAGGGUUCCUCGUGAACAGCAGUUGGAUGCGGGUCAGUCGAUCCUAAGAUAUUGGCUAAUGCCAUUUGUUUGAAUUGAGAGUUGGAGUUCAAAUCCAUCUCGGCAAUCGAAAGGGAAACGGGUUUAUAUUCCCGUACCUGGACACGGAGAUUGAAUAGUCAUGUUUAUUUUUUAUUUUUUCAUUUCACAUCCAUUGUUUGUGGUUGCUACUCUACUUUUGUAGUGUGCAUUCAUGAAUUAAUGAAUGUGCAAAUGAAGGAAGUAGAUGUGAUUAUUUAGCGCGGUAACGCAAACAAACUCGGAGACGUUGAGCAGAGCCCGAGCCAGAGUUCUCUUUUCUGGUUAAGGAACGGACUCCCUGGAAGCGGUUCAGCCGGCGAUAGGGACGUUGUUUCCGUAAAGCGCCACGGUUCCUGUGGCGUCUCGUGCACUCUGCUCGACCCAUGAAAAUCCGAGGGAGGCAAUUUGAAUUUCGUGCCAGAUCGUACCGAUAUCCGCAGCAGGUCUCCAAGGUGAACAGCCUCUAGUCGAUAGAAUAAUGUAGGUAAGGGAAGUCGGCAAAUUAGAUCCGUAACUUCGGGAAAAGGAUUGGCUCUAAGGACUGGGCCGGUCGGGCUGCAGUGUGAAGUGAGUGCGGUUUGAUCCGUGCAGUGCUGCAACGCUGAUUGGUUACCAUAAACGAACUCGUUCAAUGCUUUGCAUUCCAUUUAAUUGUUGUUGUUGUCCAAUUGUCUUCAAUGUAUGCACAUUGCAUUUUUUGUGAAUAGCAUCCACAUAUGCGCGCAAGUGUAAUGCGGUGUUAUUUUUUUCAAGUGCAAUUGUGUGUGUGUUGAGGUGUUGGGCAGCGCGAUGAUUAUGUCAUGGGUGUUGGAGUGAAUGAGGGAGUUGUGUCCAAUUAUUGUGUUUGGCUCGGCUAGUGUUUGAACUGUCUUAUGGACCGCUGCAGCUGUGCACCGGUUCACUUUGAACGGUGCCGGUGCUUCGUCCGGCGCUAAACAGUCAGCUUAGAACUGGCACGGACUCGGGGAAUCCGACUGUCUAAUUAAAACAGAGGAGACAGAUGGUCCUUGCGGGCGUUGACUGUCUCUGAUUUCUGCCCAGUGCUCUGAAUGUAAAAGUGAAGAAAUUCAACCAAGCGCGGGUAAACGGCGGGAGUAACUAUGACUCUCUUAAGGUAGCCAAAUGCCUCGUCGGCCAAUUACCGACGCGCAUGAAUGGAUUAUCGAGAUUCCCACUGUCCCUAUCUACUAUCUAGCGAAAUCACAGCCAAGGGAACGGGCUUGGUAAACACAGCGGGGAAAGAAGACCCUGUUGAGCUUGACUCUAGUCCGACUCUGUGAAGAGUCAUGAGAGGUGUAGCAUAAGUGGGAGGUGUAAAUUUUUUUCAAAUGAAAUUGCACCAUCAGUGAAAUACCACUACUUUCAUCGAUUCUUUACUUAUUCGGUAAGACGAGAAUUGAAUCAAAAAAAAAUGGUUCUUAAUUGUGGUAUUGAAGUGCAGCUGCUUGGUGGCAGCACGACUCGCGCCGAAGACAGUGUCAGGCGGGGAGUUUGACUGGGGCGGUACAUCUGUCAAAUGGUAACGCAGGUGUCCUAAGGCAAGCUCAGAGAGGACGGAAACCUCUCGUAGAGUAAAAGGGCAAAAGCUCGCUUGAUCUUGAUUUUCAGUACGAAUACAGACCGCGAAAGCGUGGCCUAUCGAUCCUUUUGAAUUAUUAGAAGGUGUCUAGCAAGAGGUGUCAGAAAAGUUACCACAGGGAUAACUGGCUUGUGGCAGCCAAGCGUCCAUAGCGACGUUGCUUUUUGAUCCUUCGAUGUCGGCUCUUCCUAUCAUUGCGAAGCAGAAUUCGCCAAGCGUUGGAUUGUUCACCCACCAAUAGGG